UGGACCCGUAGUGUAGCGGUUAUCACGUCGCCCUGUCACGGCGAAGAUCGCGGGUUCAAUUCCCGUCGGGACCGU
rnacentral:tRNA from 1 species